rnacentral:lncRNA from 1 species
AUGAAACUAAAAACAUUUUCAUUUGUACAGACACAUCUCACUCAUAUUCGUUCCUCUUUCUUCUAUUCUCUCUUUAGUUUGUGUCUACAGCAGCUACUGUAUAUACACCCCAAAGGCUCUUUUAAGAGCCACAUCACGAGAGCGUCUUUGGCUUUAUUUUGUGUCACCCUCCACUGCCGCCUCCACAGAGUUUUUUCCCUGCCAUCUAUUACUUUAAGAAUGGAUGCAAAAUCCAGGAGGCAGCGCUACACAAGGCAGUGGAAAUUUGCCCGGAGGUCAUUGGCUGAAAGGAUGAUUGGAGAGCAAACAAUAUCUUAUCCCACGAUAUCUCAACAUAAUCAAGGCCAUUUUAACAUGGAUGGAGAAAAUGACAAUCCAGACCUCUACAACGUUUUUGAGAGUGAAGAGACUGGGAUCAGUGAUGAGAACUGCAGUACAGGACAGGAGAGUGUGGAAAACAAUGUUAACGAAGAGAACUGCAGCUCAGGACAUAGGAGUGUGCCUGAAGUCAAUGAAGAGAACUUCAGUUCAGGCCUUGAAGAUGUGGAUGAAAUGCAUCCAGCCUCUCUUGCGAUGUUUCUUCAGGAAUGGGCUACAAAACACAACAUUGCACAUAAUGCCAUUGAUGACCUUCUGAAGGAACUUAAAAAUCAUGGUCAUCCAGAACUGCCUUCAACAGCAAGAACCUUGUUGCAAACUCCAAGAAGUGUCAAAACAGUGACAAAGUCGGGGAUGGAGUGUGUCCAUUUUAACUUAAGGGAGAGCCUUAGUCGGCAGUUGCAACACUACCCGAGAGAUAUAACCGAAGGAAUAACAACACUGGAGAUUUCAUUCAAUAUAGAUGGACUGCCCAUUUCAAAGCAGCAAAGCACAUCUAUAUGGCCCAUACUCUGUGCCAUUCACCUGAAUCCUGUCAGAGUUUUUCCUGUGACACUGACACUUGGUCCUUCCAAACCAUCAAAUUUGGAUUUUGUUGAGGAUGCCAUCAAAGACAUCCAGGAACUCCUUGACAAUGGUUUGGAGGGAAAACAGAUUAAAAUUAAAUGUGUUGUCUGUGAUGCACCUGCAAGAGCCAUGGUUAAAAAGAUAAAACAGUUCUCAGGAUAUUAUGGGUGCGAUAAAUGCACUCAGAGGGGCAUGUGGGUGUCUGGACGAGUGACCUACCCAGAGGUAGAGAAUCUCACUCUACACACGAAUGAGAUGUACCGUACCGAAAUGGCAAGACGGCAGAAAGAUGAGGCCAUUUCAAUGUCGCCAUUUGUGAGGCUCCCUUUGGACAUGGUUAAUCAAUUUCCAAUAGACUAUAUGCAUCAAGCCUGCCUGGGGGUCACAAAAAAAAUUAUCACAGAGUGGAUGAGAGGAGAGAGGAAUGUGCGGAUGUCUGCUGGACAAAUCAAUCAAGUGUCCCAAAGGCUGCUCUCACUUCGGAAAGCCAUUCCAAGCUGUUUUGCACGAAAACCAAGGGGUCUAGAAGACAUCGAUAGGUGGAAGGCAACUGAAUUGCGGCAGUUUGCAGUAUACACUGGCAAGAUUGUGCUAAAAGGAAUUCUGGCAGAUGAGUUGUAUGACCACUUCAUGGCAUUCAGUGUUGCCUUGAGCCUUCUUCUUUCACCAAACCUGGCAGUGGAACACAACAGCUACAGCAGUGAGCUGAUGACUUUCUUUGUUGCAAAAACAAAAGAGCUCUAUGGAGAUCACUUCAUGGUGUACAACAUACAUUCCAUGCUACAUCUACCAGCAGAAGCAAUGAAUUUUGGCACUCUUGAUGCUUGCAGUGCUUUCCCAUUUGAGAACUUUCUAGGAAAGCUUAAGCGACUCAUAAGAUCAGGAAGUCAACCACUUGUCCAAGUGGCCAAACGGUAUGUGGAGCAGGCAAAUUUUCCACACAUACAAUCUGUGGCGACAAAAAAGUUGAAAGUCACAAGACCGAACAACGCUUUCAUUCUCCGGGAGGGGAAGUGUUGUGUGGCCAUGGAAGAAAGAGAAGAGAUGGAUGAGUCCGGAUCUCCAAAGAUAUUAUGCAAGGUUUUUGAGAAAUCUGAACCACUUUUCAGAGAUCCAUGUGACUCACGUCUGAUUGGCCUGUUUCAAAGUGCAGUCAAGGCAAUCUGUAAUGAAACUACAUCCCAGAACAACAGCUGACAAGAACUGCCAUAAUGGUGGAAGAAACCAAGAGAUUUUUUUUGUUCUGUCCUGCAUACUCUCUCUCUCUCUCUCUCUCUCUCUCUCCAGCCAGCAUUAAAUGGUGAGGCCAAUGUGGGUCCCAUAUGGGCUUUAAAUAAGGGUCCCAUAAGCUCCAUGUGGGCCCCUCCUGAAUGAGCCCAUAUGAAUCUCACAUACAAAUCUGACUAGGGCUAUCUGGCCAUGGCCCAGUAUGUGUCUUAUGUGAGUUGCCCAAUUGGGGAGUAGCCCCAGAGUGCUUGGAUGAUGGGACGGGGCGACACAUUAGGGCGGAGUGACACAUGUAGCCCAGCCCACCCCCAAAUUUCAUUGGUUUAUAAUACAGCAGAGCUUAUUGGCAUAGACGCUUGAGACAUGAGCAUGCGCAUUCCUUUGUGUAUGUUUUGAACGAUCUAUGCUGUUUGACUGUACUACAGAAUUAUUAAUCGCUAAUCACAGGGAUUUCAGUUAGAAUCCUACUGGCUAAUGUUUUUGAACUUAAGACGAAUUAGUUACCUCGGGCAGAACAGAACAGAGCUGUGUAACAUGUAUUAUAAUACAUGCUCAUUUAUUAAGUGGCCACGAUAUAGUCCUAUACCUAUAUCACGUUAAAUAAAGUCCGAUUUUCAUAAAAGCAGACAUAUGUUUUAACAUUGAGCAGUUUAAGAGCUGGGUGAUAUGCUAAUAAAAAUGAUCCACUGUUUGAGAUUUAGCUAUUUUGUAUAAUAAUAUUUUUAUAAUAUAUAUUUAAAUGUAUAUUCUUCGUGUUAACAUUAAGGUCGAAUAAGCACAAACUGUGAAGAUAAUAUGAUAAAUUACUGUAGUUUGGUAAGACAUCAUGCAGCUAGGCAUGUGGCUACAAUGAGUGCCGUUCCAGGCUGCACUCUGGAGUACUUGCAAUUGGGGACCAACAAACCCCAUAAGGGGACCCCUUAUUUAAAGCCUAUAUGGAACCCCACAUUGGGCCCUCACCCAUUUUAAUGUUGGCUGCUCUCUCUCUCUCU